UCUAUUUUUGAUACUCCAUCAAAACUUGAUUUUUCUUGAACUUUGGAUCUUUUACCCUUGCAUGAUAUGAUAACAUCAUGCAUUGGUCACUUUGAAAAUGAUGGUUCACUGAGAUCUUCUAUAUGUUGAAACAUUUGAUUAUGCAGUAUCAAGCGGGAUCCGCGGUUCACAUCAUGUCCGCCUCGGCCCCUGCUGCGGAGGGAGAGGGAACCCCCACCCAGCCCGCGACCGAGAAAGAACCCGAAAUGCCGGGUCCCAGAGAGGAGAGCGAGAAGCAAGAGGAUGAGGACAACGACGACGACAGGGAGGAGGAAAAAGAAAAGAGUCGCAUCGUGGAAGGCAAGAGGGAGAAGAAAAAAGUAGAGAGGUUGACAAUGCAAGUCCCUUCCUUACAGAGAGAGCCAUUUACAAUUGCACAAGGAAAGGGGCAGAAACUUUGUGAAAUUGAGAGGAUACAUUUUUUUCUAAGUAAGAAGAAAACCGAUGAACUUAGAAAUCUACACAAACUGCUUUACAACAGGCCAGGCACUGUGUCCUCAUUAAACAAGAAUGUGGGUCAGUUCUGUGGCUUUCCAUUUGAAAAAGGAAGUGUUCAAUAUAAAAUGAAGGAAGAAAUGUUGAAAAAAUUUAGAAAUGCCGUGUUACAGAGCAUCUGUGAGGUUCUUGAUUUGGAAAGAUCAGGUGUAAAUAGUGAACUAGUGAAGAGGAUCUUGAAUUUCUUAAUGCAUCCAAAGCCUUCUGGCAAACCAUUGCCAAAAUCUUAAACAACUUCUAGCAAAGACAAUAAAAAGGAACGGAACAGUUCUGGAAUGGCAAGGAAGGCUAAGCUAACCAAAUGUCCUGGAAUUCUGUCAGAUGAAUCUAGUAGUGAUGAAGAUGAAAAGAAAAACAAAGAAGUGUCUUCAGAUGAUGAAGAUAAGAAAAGUGAAGGGGAGCCACCAAAAAAGACAGCCAAAAGAGAAAAACCUAAACAGAAAACUACUUCUAAAAGUAAAAAAUCUGUGAAAAGUGCCAAUGUUAAGAAAGCAGAUAGCAGCACCACCAAGAAGAAUCAAAACAGUUGCAAAAAAGAAAGUAAGUCUGAGGAGAGUUCAGAUGAUGAACCUUUAAUUGAAAAGUUGAAGAAACCCCCUACAGAUGAAGAAUUAAAGGAAACAAUAAAGAAAUUACUGGCCAGUGCUAACUUGGAAGCCAAGUCACAAUGAAACAGGUUUGCAAAAAGGUCUCUGGUAUGAAAAAAUUAUUCAUAUUAAUGGUAACACCUACUUGA